UACAGAGGGUGCGAGCGUUAAUCGGAAUUACUGGGCGUAAAGCGCGUGUAGGCGGCUCGAUAAGUCUGCUGUGAAAGUCCAGGGCUCAACCCUGGGAUGCCGGUGGAUACUGUCGAGCUCGAGUCCGGAAGAGGCGAGUGGAAUUCCUGGUGUAGCGGUGAAAUGCGCAGAUAUCAGGAGGAACACCAAUGGCGAAGGCAGCUCGCUGGGACGUGACUGACGCUGAGACGCGAAAGCGUGGGGAGCAAACAGG
rnacentral:rRNA from 1 species